rnacentral:sRNA from 1 species
AGAGCAAUCUGGCUCCAGCAUCUGUCACCUCACUGAUUGCAAGGGCUGAUUCAGGUGAUCUGGUGCUGAGAUCUCCUCCUCUUUCAUCUCUCCCUUUAGGUUCUUCCCAAAGCCACGUGCUCAAAUAAAGUUAAAGAGAAUGACCUAGAUGAAGAUCCCCCUGGAAGAAAAAGAGUAAUAAAAAUGAAAAACAAUAGCUGCUAAAUAAUGGGAGUGUACUAGCUGCCAGGCAAUGUGGUGAAUGCUUUCCA